rnacentral:rRNA from 1 species
UUGAUCCCGCCGGAGGCCAUUGCUAUUGGAGUCCGAUUUAGCCAUGCUAGUCGUACGAGUUUAGACUCGUGGCGAAUAGCUCAGUAACACGUGGCCAAUCUCCCCUUCAGCGGCGGACACCCUCGGGAAACUGAGGCUAAUCCGCCAUACACCUCUCAGACUGGAGUUGUCGAGAGGUCGAAACGCUUCGGCGCUGAAGGAUGAGGCUGCGGCCGAUUAGGUAGACGGUGGGGUAACGGCCCACCGUGCCCAUAAUCGGUACGGGUCGUAAGAGCGAGAGCCCGGAGACGGAAUCUGAGACAAGAUUCCGGGCCCUACGGGGCGCAGCAGGCGCGAAACCUUUACACUGCACGCCAGUGCGAUAAGGGGACUCCAAGUGCGAGGGCAUAUCGUCCUCGCUAUCCUGUACUGUAGGGUAGUACAGUAUCAAGAGCUGGGCAAGACCGGUGCCAGCCGCCGCGGUAAUACCGGCAGCACGAGUGAUGGCCGCUCUUAUUGGGCCUAAAGCGUCCGUAGCUGGCCAACCAAGUCUAUCGGGAAAUCCACCUGCCCAACGGGUGGGCGUCCGGUAGAAACUGGUUGGCUUGGAACCGGAAGGCUCAGAGAGUACGUCCGGGGUAGGAGUGAAAUCCCGUAAUCCCGGACGGACUACCGAUGGCGAAAGCACUCUGAGAAGACGGCUUCGACAGUGAGGGACGAAAGCUAGGGUCUCAAACCGGAUUAGAUACCCGGGUAGUCCUAGCUGUAAACG